rnacentral:rRNA from 1 species
AUUGAACGCUGGCGGCAGGCCUAACACAUGCAAGUCGAGCGGAGCGGCGGACGGGUGAGUAAUGCCUAGGAAUCUGCCUGGUAGUGGGGGAUAACGUCCGGAAACGGGCGCUAAUACCGCAUACUAUCAGAUGAGCCUAGGUCGGAUUAGCUAGUUGGGGGGGUAAAGGCCUAACACGGCGACGAUCCGUAACUGGUCUGAGAGGAUGCUCAGUAACACUGGAACUGAGACACGGUCCAGACUCCUACGUGAGGCAUCGGUGGGGAGUUUUGUACAAUGGGCGAAAGCCUGAUCCAGCCAUGCGGCGUGUGUGAGUGAGGUCUUCGGAUUGUAAGGCACUUUAAGUUGGGAGGCGUUACCAACAGAAUAAGCACCGGCUAACUUCGUGCCAGCCGCCGCGGUAAUAC